rnacentral:lncRNA from 1 species
AGGAUAUGGAGGUGGUUUUAAUGAAAGAGAGAAUGUUGAAUACAUAGAAAGAGAAGAAUCUGAUGGGGAAUAUGAUGAGUUUGGACGUAAAAAGAAAAAAUACAGGGGGAAGGCAGUUGGUCCUGCAUCUAUAUUAAAGGAAGUCGAAGAUAAAGAAUCAGAGGGAGAAGAAGAGGAUGAGGAUGAAGAUCUCUCUAAAUAUAAGCUAGAUGAGGACGAGGAUGAAGAUGAUGCUGAUCUCUCAAAAUAUAAUCUUGAUGCCAGUGAAGAGGAAGAUAGUAACAAAAAGAAAAGCAAUAGGCGGAGCCGCUCAAAGUCUCGAUCGUCUCCAGAUCUCACUCCCUGUGGUCAGCUAGAGUAUCAGCAUGUUCCUAAAAUCACUCAGGAGCUCAUACUUAACAUUCAGUGAUGGCAAUAAGUUUUUUAUGUUUCCACUGGAAUCUAAAGUUGUCAGUACAAGGCCAUCUAGGCACAGUUGGAAAGAUAAUUGGGUAUUACAGUCAUUCUUUGUCCCUUUCCUGUUUCCUGGCGCUUAGGGCCACUAUCGGAGCAUGGAAGUUGUAUGAUUUUUGGAAAGUAUAAAACACUUUUUUGUUGUUGGUUUUUUGUUGUUAUUCAUUUAUAUGAUAUGGGGGAUGGGGUACACUUGCCACAGUGUGGAAGUGUAGAGAUCAGAUUAACUUAGUAGAAUCCAUUCUCUCCUCUUUCGUGGUAGUUCCAGGCCAUCAAUCUUAAUAUUGUUGGCUGGCCCAUACUUUUACCCACUGAACCAUCUCACUAAGCAGACUACACAGUCAUCGAAGGUUAGAGCACAGUGCAAUUAAAAACUUGUUUGCAGGAACCAGAAGAGCGGAGUCUAAUAACUGAUUUUACUAUUGUGUCUUACAAAAAGUCAAAUAACUUCUAUGGUUGGUAAAUCAAUUAUUCAAAUUCUUUUUAGGAUAGCAACUUGAUGAGGUUAUUAGUGGGCAUUUUCAGGAUUCCUAUUUAUACAAGUUACAAAAGGUUAUAUGUAAACUUUCAUUUCCAAUAUUUGUUAACAUUGUGAAUUCAUGUUUUAGAACUAAGAAAAUCAAUGCUUGUAUACU